AAAAAAAAUUAACAUGUUACCUGUUUUGGCAGAUCGACUUCAGGCAGCAAGGCGAGGUGCGGCGAGCGAACGCGACGGAAGUGACACACCACCAGUGGGAAGCAGAGUAGAGCAGACGCACGACCAGCGCAGAGCAGUGCAGCGCAGACCAAGGACGACGGACGAUGACGACGAUGGACACUCACGCCGCCAAGGACGACGACGACGCCGCCGCCGCAGCAGAUGGAGGACGACACCAACGAAUGGAUCGGAGGAGAAACGCAAUGACUUCAGAGAACAAGGGUUGACUAGGGUUCUUUGUUUUUGGAUAAAAUGGCAAGGGUGAUUUUGGUAUUUUGAAAAAA